rnacentral:rRNA from 1 species
UACGUAGGGGGCAAGCGUUGUCCGGAUUUAUUGGGCGUAAAGAGCGUGUAGGCGGUUAGGUAGGUCCGUUGUGAAAACUCGAGGCUCAACCUCGAGACGCCGAUGGAAACCAUCUAACUAGAGUCCGGAAGAGGAGAGUGGAAUUCCUGGUGUAGCGGUGAAAUGCGCAGAUAUCAGGAAGAACACCCGUGGCUAAGGCGGCUCUCUAGUACGGUACUGACGCUGAGACGCGAAAGCGUGG